rnacentral:rRNA from 1 species
AUUGAACGCUGGCGGCAUGCCUUACACAUGCAAGUCGAACGGCAGCACGGGAGCAAUCCUGGUGGCGAGUGGCGAACGGGUGAGUAAUAUAUCGGAACGUGCCCAGUCGUGGGGAUACCGUAGCGAAAGCUACGCCAAUACCGCAUACGAUCUAUGGAUGAAAGCGGGGGAUCGCAAGACCUCGCGCGAUUGGAGCGGCCGAUAUCAGAUUAGGUAGUUGGUGAGGUAAAGGCUCACCAAGCCGACGAUCUGUAGCUGGUCUGAGAGGACGACCAGCCACACUGGGACUGAGACACGGCCCAGACUCCUACGGGAGGCAGCAGUGGGGAAUUUUGGACAAUGGGCGCAAGCCUGAUCCAGCAAUGCCGCGUGCAGGAUGAAGGCC